GUAGCAGAGAAUUUCCUAACUUUUCCACAAAAGCUGACAUUUCUCAUGGUCCCUUUCUUUCAAAACUCUUAGUGGUUAUUCAUGUAUUUAGAUUAUAUAGAAACAAGGUUUUCGGGAGAAGUUGUCAUCUUAUAUAGUUGAACCCUGAACAACACAGGUUUGAACUGCAUGGGUCCACUUUGAUAAAUACAUUGUCUCUCUAUCCAAUCAGAUAUUGUGAGCCGGGGUGCCAGAGUCACAGAGAUAAAGAGAGUCCGACUGUUCCUCAAGCCUAACGGAAAGACAGAUACAUAUAAGGAUCACACUGCUUAGAAGAUGGAUUCUCCCAGCUCUCCAGCUCUGUGAAGGACAGAACCAGUAGGCAUGCCCUUAGCAGAGGCCAGCAGG